rnacentral:lncRNA from 1 species
UGUGCUUGGUCUCCUUCUUGCCGACGGAGGCAGCCGCGGAGGCGCCGCCGUAGCAGAGAGCCUGGAACUCGUUGAUGAUGAUGUCCUUGAGCUUGUUGUCCUCGUUGGGGAGGGCGAUGUUGAGCAUGUCGAAGCACUGGUUAACCUGGCAGACGGCGUCCUCGGGACCGCCGAGCUCGGCGUUGGGGUUGGACGAGUACUCGCGGGACUUGACGCACACGGUCUCGAAGGAUUCGCCAAAGAUGUUGUCGAUGUCCUCCUCGUCGCCGCGGAGCAUGGUGAGGCACGCGUCGAUGGUGCAGGCGUCGCCCUUGCCGAGGGUGGCAGUGGAGGAGGCGCCGCCGUAGCAGAGAGCCUGGAACUCGUUGAUGAUGAUGUCCUUGAGCUUGUUGUCCUCGUUGGGGAGGGCGAUGUUGAGCAUGUCGAAGCACUCCGCAACGUCGCAGAUGGCAUCCUCGGGACCGCCGAGCUCGGCGUUGGGGUUGGACGAGUACUCGCGGGACUUGACGCACACGGUCUCGAAGGAUUCACCGAAGAUGUUGUCAAUCUGCUCAUCGUCGGCGCGGAGAAGGACGAGGCACGCGUCGACGUUGCACUGGGAUCCGAGCCUGGAGCGCUUGGUGGAAGUCUUGGGCGCGACGGCGUGCGCGUUGUGGCCGACCUUGGCGACCUUGGUGUGCUGCUUGUUCUUGCCCAUCGCGGCGGUGGAGGUGGGGAAGCAGACGUCGUAGAAUUGGGUGAUGACAACGUUCUUCAUGGACUGCUGCUUGGUUUCAUCCUUGGAGACCUUUCCGAGCUCCGCGUUGAGGAUAUCGAAGCACUUAGGGACGGUGCACAGCGCCUUGGGGUUCUCCUUCAAACCGUGCGUCGAGCCCUGCUCGACCACCUGGUUCGCCUGGGUGCACACGGUGUCGAAGGACUCCUGGAAGAUCGAGUCGAGCUGGUCGCUGGGCCCCUGGAGGAGGGUGAGGCAGUGAUCCAUGCCGCACGUCUCAGACGCGCCGAGGCGCAUGAGGGACGAAACGCCGUAUCCGUUGGAACCGGAGAGGGCGUACGCGCCCACGAGCGCGCCGGAGACGGCGCAGAGCGCGCCGACCGCGACGAGAAUUCGCGAAUUCGACCCCGAUUUCGCCUUGUUGGUGAGGAGGGUGUCAUUUUCACCGCCCUUCUGCGCGUCCGGGUGGAACGCGCCGUACAUGCGAGCGCCCGACAU